rnacentral:rRNA from 1 species
UACAGAGGGUGCGAGCGUUGUUCGGAAUCAUUGGGCGUAAAGCGCUUGUAGGCGGCCUGUCAAGUCGCGUGUGAAAUCCCUUGGCUUAACCAAGGAAGUGCGCGCGAAACUGGCGGGCUUGAGUGCCGGAGAGGGUCGCGGAAUUCCCGGUGUAGAGGUGAAAUUCGUAGAUAUUGGGAAGAACACCGGUGGCGAAGGCGGCGCUCUGGACCGAGACUGACGCUGAGGCGCGAAGGCGUGGGGAGCAAACAGG